AACGAACGCUGGCGGCAGGCUUAACACAUGCAAGUCGAGCGCCCCGCAAGGGGAGCGGCAGACGGGUGAGUAACGCGUGGGAACGUACCUUUUGGUUCGGAACAACUCCGGGAAACUGGAGCUAAUACCGGAUAAGCCCUACGGGGAAAGAUUUAUCGCCGAAAGAUCGGCCCGCGUCUGAUUAGCUAGUUGGUGAGGUAACGGCUCACCAAGGCGACGAUCAGUAGCUGGUCUGAGAGGAUGAUCAGCCACACUGGGACUGAGACACGGCCCAGACUCCUACGGGAGGCAGCAGUGGGGAAUAUUGGACAAUGGGCGCAAGCCUGAUCCAGCCAUGCCGCGUGAGUGAUGAAGGCCUUAGGGUUGUAAAGCUCUUUUGUCCGGGAAGAUAAUGACUGUACCGGAAGAAUAAGCCCCGGCUAACUUCGUG
rnacentral:rRNA from 1 species